UACGUAGGGUGCGAGCGUUAAUCGGAAUUACUGGGCGUAAAGCGUGCGCAGGCGGUUCGUUGUGUCUGUGGUGAAAGCCCCGGGCUUAACCUGGGAAUGGCCAUGGAAACUGGCGAGCUGGAGUGUGGCAGAGGGGGGUGGAAUUCCACGUGUAGCAGUGAAAUGCGUAGAGAUGUGGAGGAAUACCGAUGGCGAAGGCAGCCUCCUGGCCGAACACUGACGCUCAUGCACGAAAGCGUGGGGAGCAAACAGGA
rnacentral:rRNA from 1 species